rnacentral:rRNA from 1 species
CUAAGAAUAUUCCGCAAUGGACGAAAGUCUGACGGAGCGACGCCGCGUGGAUGAUGAAGGCCGAAAGGUUGUAAAAUCCUUUUGUUGGGGAAGAAUAAGCGUGGGAGGGAAUGCCCGCGUGAUGACAUGAACCGACGAAUAAGCCCCGGCUAACUACGUGCCAGCAGCCGCGGUAACACGUAGGGGGCAAGCGUUGUUCGGAAUUACUGGGCGUAAAGGGCAUGUAGGCGGCCUUGUAAGCCUGGCGUGAAAGUCACCGGCUCAACCGGUGGAUUGCGUCGGGAACUGCGAGGCUCGAGUCACGGAGGGGGAGUUAGAAUUCCCGGUGUAGGGGUGAAAUCUGUAGAGAUCGGGAAGAAUACCAGUGGCGAAGGCGAACUCCUGGCCGAUGACUGACGCUGAGGUGCGAAAGUGUGGGGAUCAAACAGG